ACCGAGUGGAAAGCAGUUUAUCUGGAGCU
rnacentral:piRNA from 1 species